rnacentral:rRNA from 1 species
AUUGAACGCUGGCGGCAGGCCUAACACAUGCAAGUCGAACGAGUGGCGGACGGGUGAGUAAUGUCUGGGAAACUGCCUGAUGGAGGGGGAUAACUACUGGAAACGGUAGCUAAUACCGCAUACCAUCGGAUGUGCCCAGAUGGGAUUGGCUAGUAGGUGGGGUAACGGCUCACCUAGGCGACGAUCCCUAGCUGGUCUGAGAGGAUGACCAGCAACACGGGAACUGAGACACGGCCCAGAGUCCUACGGGUGGCAGCAGUGGGGAAUAUGGCACAAGGGGCGCAAGCCUGAUGCAGCCAUGCCGCGUGUGUGAAGAAGGCCUUCGGGUUGUAAAGCACUUUCAGCGGGGAGGCGUUACCCGCAGAAGAAGCAACGGCUAACUCCGUGCCAGCAGCCGCGGUAAUAC